rnacentral:rRNA from 1 species
GCUCAGGAUGAACGCUGGCGGCGUGCUUAACACAUGCAAGUCGAACGGACGAUGAAGAGCUUGCUUUUCAGAGUUAGUGGCGGACGGGUGAGUAACGCGUGGGUAACCUGCCUCAUACAGGGGGAUAGCAGCUGGAAACGGCUGAUAAAACCGCAUAAGCGCACAGCAUCGCAUGAUGCAGUGUGAAAAACUCCGGUGGUAUGAGAUGGACCCGCGUCUGAUUAGCUUGUUGGUGAGGUAACGGCCCACCAAGGCGACGAUCAGUAGCCGGCCUGAGAGGGUGACCGGCCACAUUGGGACUGAGACACGGCCCAAACUCCUACGGGAGGCAGCAGUGGGGAAUAUUGCACAAUGGGGGAAACCCUGAUGCAGCGACGCCGCGUGAAGGAAGAAGUAUCUCGGUAUGUAAACUUCUAUCAGCAGGGAAGAUAAUGACGGUACCUGACUAAGAAGCCCCGGCUAACUACGUGCCAGCAGCCGCGGUAAUACGUAGGGGGCAAGCGUUAUCCGGAUUUACUGGGUGUAAAGGGAGCGUAGGCGGCGGAGCAAGUCAGAAGUGAAAGCCGGGGCUCAACCCCGGGACGGCUUUUGAAACUGCCCUGCUUGAUUUCAGGAGAGGUAAGCGGAAUUCCUAGUGUAGCGGUGAAAUGCGUAGAUAUUAGGAGGAACACCAGUGGCGAAGGCGGCUUACUGGACUGACAAUGACGCUGAGGCUCGAAAGCGUGGGGAGCAAACAGGAUUAGAUACCCUGGUAGUCCACGCCGUAAACGAUGAAUCCUAGGUGUCGGGGCUCAUAAAGCUUCGGUGCCGCAGCAAACGCUAUAAGUAUUCCACCUGGGGAGUACGUUCGCAAGAAUGAAACUCAAAGGAAGUGACGGGGACCCGCACAAGCGGUGGAGCAUGUGGUGUAAUUCGAAGCAACGCGAAGAUCCUUACCAGGCCUUGACAUCCCGGUGACCGUCCCGUAAUGGGGACCUAUGUUCGGAGCACCGGUGACAGGUGGUGCAUGGUUGUUGUCAGCUCGUGUCGUGAGAUGUUGGGUUAAGUCCCGCAACGAGCGCAACCCCUAUGUUCAGUAGCCAGCAGGUAAAGCUGGGCACUCUGGACAGACUGCCGGGGAUAACCCGGAGGAAGGCGGGGAUGACGUCAAAUCAUCAUGCCCCUUACGGCCUGGGCUACACACGUGCUACAAUGGCGUAAACAAAGGGAAGCGAGAGGGUGACCUGGAGCGAAUCCCAAAAAUAACGUCCCAGUUCGGACUGUAGUCUGCAACCCGACUACACGAAGCUGGAAUCGCUAGUAAUCGCGAAUCAGCAUGUCGCGGUGAAUACGUUCCCGGGUCUUGUACACACCGCCCGUCACACCAUGGGAGUUGGAAAUGCCCGAAGUCAGUGACCUAACCGCAAGGGAGGAGCUGCCGAAGGUGGAGCCGAUGACUGGGAAGAAGUCGUAACAAGG